CGGCGCUCCACUUCCGGGACGGGGCUGCCGGCGGGGCAAGGCGCGCUGUCUCCCGGACUGUCUGGAGCUCCGCGGCGGCAGUGGCGGCAGUGGCGGCGCGCGGAGCAGGCACCGUCCCGGGGAGCGGCACCAUGAGCGGAUCACAGAACAAUGACGUGAAAAGACAAUUUCUGCUGGAGCGACUGCUGGACGCAGUGAAACAGUGCCAGAUGCGCUUUGGAGGGAGAAAGGAGAUUGCCUCGGAUUCCGACAGUAGCUAAUAUGUUGCUUCUAAAACCAUUUAGUGUUAAGACCAAAAAGGUGGCCAGAGAUGAACAGCUUCUAUAACUGCCUCCUUAGCCAAGUGGUGCAGUGAGUAAAUCUGGGUGAUGUGCAGACCACCCAUUAAGUGACUAUUGUUGGAAGCAUUUCCAGCUUCCCCUAAUUCUCUGUCUAGUAAUAUAGUCUGAGGAAAUUACUUGAAAUAUCUUUCUGCCUAAAGUUAUUUUCAGGGUAAUUUAUAAUGAUGAAUACUCAGAAAUGUAUAUGCCCAACAAUUGGGAGAUGGUUAGAAAAUGGAGUGCAUCAGUAGGAUGGAAAGUUAUAUAGCUAUUAAAUUGAUGCCCAUGUAGAAUUUGUUUGAAGCAGGAAAAUGCAUCUGUAGUAAAAGUCCUAAAAAUUGCUCUUGACCUUCAUGAC